rnacentral:lncRNA from 1 species
UCAAUCAAUGUCUCACUACAAAGUCUACAGUGGCUCUAUUUCUUCUUGCAUUGCAUGAUUGCGUUCUCUGCUGCUUUUUUGCCAACCUUCUUCUUGCAUUACAUCCUCUGCUCCUUUUUUGCCUUCAACAUUCACCUUAAGUGAAAUUUCCAUUAGUAAGAAGCUUGUCACAAUAAAAGUAAGUAUUAAUCUUGCACAAUCCAUCCUAAUCAUUAAACAUCACAGAAAAAUAUCUUUAAAAGAACAAGUUAAAAUACAUACCAUGCUUAAUCAAGACUAAUACUACUAACAAGCUGAGAUGCAAUUUGAGAGCAGAAAAGAAAAAACUACUAUACUCAAAGAGAGCAAAAAACAAAACAAAACAUUAAUGUCUUUAAGGAAAUGGCAUGCUAUCAAUUGAUGUAGUUACAGGGACGAAAACUAACUAAGACCUAAUCAAUGCCUGUUCUUUCUCUCGUCGACAAUCGACAACAGCCUCGAAACUAAAGAUUUAACCGAAGACCUAAUCAAUGCAAAAACAAGAGACAUAAUUUAAAAACAAAAGAGAGAAGGAAACAUCAUUAUGAGUCAAAAUAUAUGAGUUGAAAAUUGAGGAACCACAGGAAAAAAUUAGAUCUGGACUAGUUUCUACCUAAGGUGAAUCCUUUAUCACUAUCAGUACCUCCACAGAUAGACACCGAUAAAUGAUAUGUCAUUAGUUUCAUAAUGUAUUACUGCGAUCUGCUUCUUAGUUAUUUGUACUUGUAGGCAACAGUAGUUGGUCAAGACUCCCUUGUAAAGUCAUCUUCUUCCCUACUUAAAGCUAGAAGGGGCAAAAUAUCAAGCCUGUUAGGCGAAGUCCUUCCUGCCAAUCGCUCAUCUCUUACUUGCUGUAAGGAUCAGUUUGUGUCACUAAAGUAUUCAAAUGAUCUAUUCCGAAAUGAGAAAAAGCUACCUAUUUGUGAGAGGGAAACUAUGCAAUGUCAAGACAGUAAAUAUAAAGUAUGACUUCAAAUUAAUUACUAAAGUUCAAUGUAAUAGAGGAAAACAAUAAACAUCCAACCCAAACUCCAGAGUCUCAAGUCUGGGUAAUUCACUACAGGGUCUCAAGUCUCAAUCAAAUUAAUUACUAAGCAGUAAGUACCUAUGAAUAUAGAAUAUAAGAAGCACCUAAAAGGGAAACAUUUCGAAGGCUAGGAGAAAAAUAGAUGGAAAUAUGUAAGUACGAGCAAGAUGCCUAUACAGGGAGGAUAUAGAAACUUACUGAGUAGUAACUUAUGUUGUUCGUAUCAAUUUCAGUAAAACCAAACAACAACAACAACCCAAUUCCAAUCCAAAAACCAACCAAAACAAAUAAAAUUCAAUACUUUUAACUUCAUGAACCUCGGAAUCACAAAACAUGAGCCUUAACGAAUUACACACCUCGGCAUUAACGAAUCGCAAACUCAGUACUUUUAACUUCAUGAGCCUUAACGAAUCGCAAAACAUUUCUUCUUUCGUCAUCCAUUACUUUUAAUCGGUGUGAAGAAAUAGGUAAAUUAACAGCUCCAAAUUACCCAAAAAUGGAAAUUUUAAUCGGAGAAUAUAGAAAUGAACAAAUUUUACACAAAACCCAUGAACAAAAAGCAAAACCCAUUAUCCAAAACACAACCAAAAAAUUUAUAAAAAAAAAAAAACCAAAGGUGGAAGGGAAUGAGCACAACCCAUGAACAAAUUUCAAUCUGUAUAUUGUUACGCAUGAAAGAAGAGAUGGAAGAGAAUCAGAGCUUACCAGAGAGAGAGAGUGGUGGAUUCGGAAGGGAAGGAGCACAUCAAUGGCUGAUGAGUGAUCUCUUAGUACUUUUAGAGAUUACAGAGAGGUUAGAGAGAGAAAAAAAUAGCAAAGUCAUGCGACGGUGCGAGAGAAAUGUGAGGAACUUGAGCCCUGAGGGUUUUCUACUAGGACUGUUAAAAUUACACAAAAGUCCUCAAUAACGGGUUUUGCGGGUUCACUCAAAAUGACUCGUUAUUUAACGGGUGAUUAACGGGUUGAC